rnacentral:rRNA from 1 species
UGGGGAAUUUUGCGCAAUGGGGGAAACCCUGACGCAGCAACGCCGCGUGAGUGAUGAAGGCCUUCGGGUCGUAAAGCUCUGUCAGAGGGGAAGAAAUGCAGGGGUGCUAAUAUCAUCUUUGCUUGACGGUACCCUCAAAGGAAGCACCGGCUAACUCCGUGCCAGCAGCCGCGGUAAUACGGAGGGUGCGAGCGUUGUUCGGAAUUAUUGGGCGUAAAGCGCGUGUAGGCGGUUUGGUAAGUCUGAUGUGAAAGCCCCGGGCUCAACCUGGGAAGGGCAUUGGAAACUGAAAGACUUGAAUACGGGAGAGGGUAGUGGAAUUCCUAGUGUAGGAGUGAAAUCCGUAGAUAUUAGGAGGAACACCGGUGGCGAAGGCGGCUACCUGGACCGAUAUUGACGCUGAGACGCGAAAGCGUGGGGAGCAAACAG